UACGUAGGGACCAAGCGUUGUUCGGAUUUACUGGGCGUAAAGGGCGCGUAGGCGGUGCGGUAAGUCACUUGUGAAAUCUCUGAGCUUAACUCAGAACGGCCAAGUGAUACUGCAGUACUAGAGUGCGGAAGGGGCAAUCGGAAUUCUUGGUGUAGCGGUGAAAUGCGUAGAUAUCAAGAGGAACACCUGAGGUGAAGACGGGUUGCUGGGCCGACACUGACGUGAUGCGC
rnacentral:rRNA from 1 species